UACGUAGGGGGCGAGCGUUAUCCGGAAUUACUGGGUGUAAAGGGAGCGUAGACGGCGAAGUAAGCCUGAAGUGGAAGCCCGCGGCCCAACCGCGGAACUGCUUUGGGAACUGUUUUGCUGGAGUAUGGGAGGGGUAAGCGGAAUUCCUGGUGUAGCGGUGAAAUGCGUAGAUAUCAGGAGGAACACCGGUGGCGAAGGCGGCUUACUGGACCAUGACUGACGUUGAGGCUCGAAAGCGUGGGGAGCGAACAGG
rnacentral:rRNA from 1 species